AAAAAAAAAAUGAUCUGCCCUGCACUUCGGGAUAAGCCUGGGAAACUGGGUCUAAUACCGGAUAGGAGCCAUUUUUAGUGUGAUGGUUGGAAAGUUUUUUCGGUGUAGGAUGAGCUCGCGGCCUAUCAGCUUGUUGGUGGGGUAAUGGCCUACCAAGGCGGCGACGGGUAGCCGGCCUGAGAGGGUGGACGGCCACAUUGGGACUGAGAUACGGCCCAGACUCCUACGGGAGGCAGCAGUGGGGAAUAUUGCACAAUGGGCGCAAGCCUGAUGCAGCGAUGUUUUGUGAGGAA
rnacentral:rRNA from 1 species